rnacentral:rRNA from 1 species
GAUGAACGCUAGCGACAGGCUUAACACAUGCAAGUCGAGGGGCAGCGAGGGCGUAGCAAUACGCCUGUCGGCGACCGGCGCACUGGUGAGUAACACGUAUGCGACCUGCCCCCUACAGGGGUAUAACCCGUAGAAAUGCGGACUAAUCCCCCAUAGUCCCGCGGGCUGCAUGGCCUGCGGGGGAAAGGGUUUCCGGUAGGGGAUGGGCAUGCGGCGCAUUAGCUAGUUGGCGGGGCAACGGCCCACCAAGGCGACGAUGCGUAGGGGUUCUGAGAGGAAGGUCCCCCACACUGGUACUGAGACACGGACCAGACUCCUACGGGAGGCAGCAGUGAGGAAUAUUGGUCAAUGGGCGCAGGCCUGAACCAGCCAAGUCGCGUGAGGGAAGACGGUCCUACGGAUUGUAAACCUCUUUUGUCGGGGAGUAACGUGCGGGACGCGUCCCGUAUUGAGAGUACCCGAAGAAAAGCAUCGGCUAACUCCGUG